AUGAGAGAGACACACACACACACAGAGAGGCAGAGACACAGGCAGAGGAAGAAGCGGGCUGCCUGCAGGGAGCCCGACGCGGGACUCGAUCCCACGACCCCGGGGUCACGCCCUGAGCGGAAGGCAGACGCUCAACCGCUGAGCCUCCCAGGCGUCCCUAGUGAAGCUUCUCUGAGCCUGUCUUUUUCGUCUGCGAAAUGGUCCUGGCAAACCCAGCACUUGGCUCAAGACCCGGCUGUAAGAAAUUCCUCAAGAGACAGCAGCUAUCGCCAUGGGUUACACAGACGGGAAAACGAAGACGGAGGGGAAGGGCUUCUCCCACAGGCUGUGCUGGCCUCACACCUCCACGAAAGGAGGACCUCGAGCAGUGGAGGCCCGUCGGAGCUGCGGCGGGGCCCAAGGGCCUCCAGCCUCCCCGGCCCCGGGAGCUGGGGCCGCCUGGGCUGGGCCGGUGCGAGGAAACAGGGACUGAGGCCGCGGCCCCCGCCCCUCCGCCCCAGUCCCCGACCCCAGGAGGCCGGGCUCUCCGAAGUCCAGCCGCCCCUCGGGAGGGCCGCGCCCCCCGAGUCCCUCCCCAGCUCAGCCUCCGCCCCCGACGGUCCGCGCCCCCUUCUCACGACCCGCCCCCAACGGCGCCACCGCUCGGGCUCCCGGGGCGGCGGCGAUACGUACCCCCGGGCCCACGCUCUGGGAGAAGGAGUGCACGACGCCGCCAGGUCGCACGUCAAACGCCACGGUCGUGGGCUCGGACACCGCCCGCGCCGGCCUCAACGCCACGGCCGCCAGCAGCAACGCAGCCCACAAGCUCGCGCUCCCGCCGUCCCUCCUUGCGCUGGGCGCCGCCAUCUUGGGAACGCUCCGCAGGGCCGGGGCGGCGACGGGACGCGGCGAGGGACACGUGGGGCGUCCGCUAGAGGCCACGUCGGCGGCGCCAGGCCACGUGACCUGGCGCGCCCCGCCUCCUCCACGGCUGGGCCGCCAUGUUGGGGCGGGGCCUGGACUUUCAGGGAGGGGCCCUGGGCCUUAUUCUGUGUUUCACACUGCAUGGUUCUGUUGAUGUCUCUCCCAUUACCUCACCUGCUGUGUUUGACCUUCAGUCCAUCACUAUGA
rnacentral:lncRNA from 1 species